GGGGAAGCCGGUGCAAAUCCGGCGCUGACCCGCAACCGUGAGCAGCCAGCACAGGGCUGCGAGCCGGACUGCCC
rnacentral:ncRNA from 2 species